ACAUGCGACUACUUUGGGUUUGAAAAGCUAGAGAUCUUAGCCCAAGGUCCUCUUGACCUUAGCGUACUACUACUACUAGUUGGAGCUGUUCAUUUUCUUCCUCUAUUCUGACGGGAAGUUGGACACCGUAGCGUUGUAACACCACCAGUAUAGAGCUAGCUGUGUAUUCUGGGAGAUUGGCAAAAGGAAAAGACAAAACCGGUACAGUGCCCAUCAAGCAAGAUGUCACGGCAAGAUGGUCUAUCAAGCCGAGAAAAAGCGCUUAUCGGAUUUAUAUGUGGCGUGUUUCUUAUCGGUUUCAUAUUCAUCUUCCUUCUUUGUUACUGUUGUAUAAAGUAUCGAUGCGUGCCUCCUGGUAUUGAUGUAGACCCAGGAGGAGUUGAUCUUGGCGUAGAUAUUGGCGGAGUUCAUCUCGAAGCAGAGAUUCAGGCAGAUGCUGGCGAUGUGAAUUUCCAGGCAGACGCUGGCAGUGCUGAGCUGGACUCAGAUGAUAGUGUUAAUCUCGCGGCAGAUGCUGGAAAUGUUGAUCAUGGUGCAGAUGCUGGCAAUGUUGAUCUAGAGGCAGAGGUCCAGGCAGAUGCUGGCGAUGCGGAUUUCCAGGCAGACGCUGGCAGUGCUGAGCUGGACUCAGUUGAUAGUGUUAAUCUCGCGGCAGAUGCUGGCAAUGUUGAUCAUGGCCCAGAUGCUGCCAAUGUUGAUCUAGAGGCAGAGAUCCAGGCAGAUGAUGGCGAUGUGGAUUUAGUGGAAGCCGCUGGCAGCUCUGAGCUAGACUCAGAUGAUAGCGUUGAUCAUGGAGCAGAUGCAAUGCAUAGGCUGGAAAUGUUGCUUGAUCUCUUUGCAAACGCUGUCAAUGAUUCUGUUGAUCUCUAGGCAGGUGCUGGAAAUGUUAGUCUCGAGGCAGAUGGUGCACGGCAAUAUUGAUCCCCAGGAAGACGCUGGCAAUGUUGAUUUGAAGGCAGGCCAUGGAUCUAUCGUGCAAGCAGUCCCAAUAAUCGUCCUGCAGAUUUUGAAUGUGCUUUUUUAUACGUCUUGGUUCAUUCCAUUUACUAGUACUUUUCAAAUGACAAUGAAAGUGCCAGUAUGUCCAGGAACCACUGGUGGUGUGCCAAUGGCGGAUCACAGUUUCGAAUCUUAUCCUGCCGCUAUCAGUCUACGACAUCAUCGUAUGGUGUUUCCCUGCUGUUCAUUUUCUGUGUUGUUAUGGAGGUUGAAGCAAGCCGGGAAAAUUUGAUUGUCGGAGUUAAAGUUGGCACGCUUACUUUGUGUUUACUCGUAUUCAUCUUACUGUUUUACUAUUGUCUACUGCGUCUAAGUGUGCAGGCUGUUAUUGAUGUAGGCGCUGGCGGAGUUGAUCGUGGCGUAGAUGUUGGCGUAGAUGUUGGCGGAGUUGAUCUCGAAGCAGAGGUCCAGGCAGAUGCUGGCGAUGUGGAUUUCGAGUCAGGCAUUGGCAGUGCUGAGGGUGACUUAGAAGAUGGUGUUAUCAUCAAUGCAGAUGCUGGCAAUGUUUAUUACGUGGCAGAUGCUGCCAAUGUUGAUCUCUAUGCAGAUGCUGGCAAUGUUGAUUGAUCCCCAGGAAGACGCUGGCAAUGUUGAUUUGAAGGCAGGCCGUGGGUCUAUCAUCCAAGCAGUCCUGCAGGUUCCUGCAAGCUUUUAAUGUGCCUUUCCAUAAGUCUUAGUUCAUUGCAUUUUCUCUUGAAAUGAAAAUGAAGGUGGCAGUAUGUCCAGACACCACUGGUGGUGCCACUGACGGAUCACAGUUUCGAAUUUUAUCCGGUAUGUUGUGCCCGUUUUUGAUCAAUUUCCCAGUCCCUUGUUUUAGGUUUAGAGGUGAAUUGAUGUACCCAUUGUCAUAGUUAUCUAGAAAUAAUAGCGUUUUACGAGCUUUUAGACUUGGUCAUGAUAAAACAAUCACGUAUGUGAAUUGACGUUGUACAUGUCACGAUCAUUGAAACACGUCAUGUCAUGUCACGAUCAUUGAAAAGUUCGGCUGACGCAUAUGCUAUGGAGAGAAUCAUAAAGGUGUCUAUUCGAUUGUUUCCCUUUUAGUUUUAUACAUGUAUGUUACACAAUACAAAUACAUCUACUUCUUACCCAUACAAAACGCUCAUGUGGCCCUAGAACACCAGGAUCAUAUGGGGCAUGUUAUCAUGACAUUCCUCCAUUCUGAAGUCAACAAUGACCAGUUGUAGCACUGCUUGCCAUUGCUUGUCUGACCUUUGUCGUUAGUUGCCUAAAUAAUAAUUGGAUGAAUUUUGAGGAAAAUCGCCAAAGGUCGUAUAUCUAA